rnacentral:pre_miRNA from 1 species
AGCUCCAUGCAAGAUCUUACCUCAUGGGGUAGAACAGGGCAAGGUCUUGCAUGGAGCUCC